rnacentral:rRNA from 1 species
CGGGUGAGUAACACGUGGGAAUCUACCAUUAGAUGGGGAAUAACAGGCCGAAAGGACUGCUAAUGCCGCAUAUGUAUGUGCCUCGACAGGGGCGUAUAUGAAAGGAGUAAUCCGUCUGAUGAUGAGCCCGCGUCCGAUUAGCUAGUUGGUAGGGUAAAAGCCUACCAAGGCGACGAUCGGUAGGUGGUCUGAGAGGAUGAUCACCCACAAUGGGACUGAGACACGGCCCAUACUCCUACGGGAGGCAGCAGUGGGGAAUUUUGUGCAAUGGGGGAAACCCUGACACAGCGACACCGCGUGAGCGAAGAAGCCCUUUGGGGUGUAAAGCUCUGUCAACGGGAACGAAAAAAAUGACGGUACCCGUGGAGGAAGCACCGGCUAACUACGUGCCAGCAGCCGCGGUAAGACGUAGGAUGCAAGCGUUGUCCGGAUUUAUUGGGCGUAAAGAGUUCGUAGGCUGUUUGUUAAGUCUGAUGUUAAAGACUGGGGCUCAACCUCGGAAAUGCAUUGGAUACUGGCAGACUGGAGUGCAGUAGAGGCUAGUGGAAUUCCCAGUGUAGCGGUGAAAUGCGUAGAUAUUGGGAAGAACACCGGUGGCGUAGGCGACUAGCUGGGCUGUAACUGACGCUGAGGAACGAAAGCCAGGGGAGCGAAUGGGAUUAGAUACCCCAGUAGUCCUGGCCGUAAACGAUGGAUACUAGGCGUAGUGGGUAUCGACCCCUGCUGUGCCGCAGCUAACGCGAUAAGUAUCCCGCCUGAGUAGUACGGCCGCAAGGUUGAAACUCAAAGGAAUUGACGGGGGCCCGCACAAGCGGUGG